GUGCCAGCAGCCGCGGUAAUACAGAGGGGGCAAGCGUUGUCCGGAUUUACUGGGCGUACAGCGCGCGCAGGCGGCGCCGUAUGUGACUGGUGACAUUCGCGGGCUCAACCCGCGACGGCCCGGUUACACAGCGGUGCUGGAGGCAGGGAGAGGGAUGUGGAAUACCCGGUGGAGCGGUGAAAUGCGUAGAGAUCGGGUGGAACACCAGCGGCGAAGGCGGCAUCCUGGCCCUGACCUGACGCUGAGGCGCGAUAGCGUGGGGAGCAAACGGGAUUAGAAACCCCGGUAGUCC
rnacentral:rRNA from 1 species